rnacentral:snRNA from 1 species
GGAUGUGAGGGCGAUCUGGCUGCGACAUCUGUCACCCCCAUUGAUCACCAGGGUUGAUUUGGCUGAUCUAGCUGGCUAGGCGGGUGUCCCCUUCCUCCCUCACCGCUCCAUGUGCGUCCCUCCCGAAGCUGCGCGCUCGGUCGAAGAGGACAACCUUCCCCGAAUAGAGGAGGACCAGUCUUCGGUCAAGGGUAUACGAGUAGCUGCGCUCCCCUGCUAGAACCUCCAAAACAAGCUCUGAGUAGUCCAGUGGCUUGGGAGAUUUUUGUUGAGUCUGACGCUACCACAUAAGGUGAGCAGCUCCUGAGAGCUUCACC